rnacentral:lncRNA from 1 species
CCCAUGAUGCACUGCUGCACUCGCUGCCCCAGCCCUGCAGCAGGCCACCUCCGACCCACACCUCCGCUGGAGACCCCUGGACGCCCACGGGCAAGUCUGGUCAGCCUCUCGUGGGCUCACUGCUCCUUUCUCCUGGGUCUCGGUGCCCACAAGCUAUGUUUGAGCCCUCUGAGCGUCUCUGGCGUCUCCAUGAAUGGAUCUGCUUAUCUGUUCGUUCACUCAGUCUGUACCCACCUGUCUUAAUGAGCAUCUGUGUGUGCUGCCCUAUCCAGGCAGUGGGGGUACAGAGAAGAUGAGGUAUGCUGUCUGCUGGGAAAGACCUGCCUACAUGGAACAGCAAGUUCCCAGUGCAGGGCAGAAGCCGUUAUGGGAGCACUGAAGAGCGGAUGGGAUGGAGAGAGGUGUUCAUGAAGGCUUCCUGGAGAGGCUGGCACCUUGAACAACUCUGUAGAGACUCUUGUGGACUAAUGGCCCAGGGUCAGACUGAGCCAGCUCCCCUCGUCUGGUCUCACCCCUGGGAUUAGGAAGGGGAAAACUCAGGUGUGCAGGGCAAAGAGAACAAAGCACAUGUGUCCUGGCAUGUUGACUCCAGGCUGAAGCAGGCACUGCCUGUGUGUAUAUAAAUAUGCAGUGUGGAUACAGUGUAGAUACACAACCACACACCCACUCCAGUCAUUGCGUCCUCUCCCUAUGCUCUCCUUUCCUGGCCUCUUGUGCAGUCCCCACCCCCACUGAAGGUAAGCACCGUUCCCCAUCUAAGGCGUGUCUUGUUGAGUCUUGGCUGUUAGAAACAAGGCUGUAAUAAACUCGCUUGCACCCUGUCUUUUUCCUUUGAGAAGUGUUACUUUAGU